CCUACGGGUGGCAGCAGUGAGGAAUAUUGGUCAAUGGGCGGAAGCCUGAACCAGCCAAGUAGCGUGCAGGAUGACGGCCCUACGGGUUGUAAACUGCUUUUAUACGGGAAUAACGCGCCUUACGUGUAGGGUUUUGUAUGUACCGUAUGAAUAAGGAUCGGCUAACUCCGUGCCAGCAGCCGCGGUAAUACGGAAGGUCCGGGCGUUAUCCGGAUUUAUUGGGUUUAAAGGGAGCGUAGGCCGCAUGUCAAGCUUGCUGUGAAAUGUCCGGGCUCAACCCGGGCCUUGCAGCGCGAACUGGCGUGCUUGAGUCCGCGGAAGGCAGGCGGAAUUCGUCGUGUAGCGGUGAAAUGCUUAGAUAUGACGAAGAACCCCGAUUGCGAAGGCAGCUUGCUGCAGCGGAACUGACAUUGAUGCUCGAAAGUGUGGGUAUCAAACAGGAUUAGAUACCCGGGUAGUC
rnacentral:rRNA from 1 species